rnacentral:rRNA from 1 species
UAAUACAUGCAAGUCGAGCGAACAGAUAAGGAGCUUGCUCCUUUGACGUUAGCGGCGGACGGGNGAGUAACACGNGGGUAACCUACCUAUAAGACUGGAAUAACUCCGGGAAACCGGGGCUAAUGCCGGAUAACAUUUAGAACCGCAUGGUUCUAAAGUGAAAGAUGGUUUUGCUAUCACUUAUAGAUGGACCCGCGCCGUAUUAGCUAGUUGGUAAGGUAACGGCUUACCAAGGCAACGAUACGUAGCCGACCUGAGAGGGUGAUCGGCCACACUGGAACUGAGACACGGUCCAGACUCCUACGGGAGGCAGCAGUAGGGAAUCUUCCGCAAUGGGCGAAAGCCUGACGGAGCAACGCCGCGUGAGUGAUGAAGGUCUUCGGAUCGUAAAACUCUGUUUAUUAAGGAAGAACAAAUGUGUAAGUAACUAUGCACGUCUUGACGGUACCUAAUCAGAAAGCCACGGCUAACUACGUGCCAGCAGCCGCGGUAAUACGUAGGUGGCAAGCGUUAUCCGGAAUUAUUGGGGCGUUAAGCGCGCGUAGGCGGUUUCUUA